rnacentral:rRNA from 1 species
UACGAAGGGGGCUAGCGUUGCUCGGAAUUACUGGGCGUAAAGGGCGCGUAGGCGGCUCAUGAAGGCUGUGGUGAAAGUCCGGGGCUCAACCUCGGAUCGGCCGUGGCGACUCGUGGGCUGGAGCACUGUAGAGGCGGGUGGAAUUUCGGGUGUAGCGGUGGAAUGCGUAGAGAUCCGGAAGAACACCAGUGGCGAAGGCGGCCCGCUGGGCAGUGGCUGACGCUGAAGCGCGACAGCGUGGGGAGCAAACAGG